rnacentral:rRNA from 1 species
UACGAAGGGUCCAAGCGUUAUCCGGAUUUAUUGGGUUUAAAGGGUGCGUAGGCGGCUUAUUAAGUCAGUGGUGAAAGCCUGCAGCUUAACUGCAGAACUGCCAUUGAUACUGAUGAGCUUGAGUAUAGUUGAGGUGGGCGGAAUGUGUCAUGUAGCGGUGAAAUGCUUAGAUAUGACACAGAACACCGAUUGCGAAGGCAGCUCGCUAAACUAUAAACUGACGCUGAGGCACGAAAGCGUGGGGAGCGAACAGG